UACGAGCCGAGCUCGAGUUAUAAAUUUUAGUUGUGCCGAGCUGGAUUUUGGCCAUAGUUCCAUUGGGAUUUUGGCCAUAGUUCCUUCGCCAAAGUUGUGUAAUUUCUCGAGGGCUUUGUGGUGUAUGGUGGAGAUCGAGUUUCAACUCUUUUCAUCUUCUCCAUUUGAGCUCCGAAUUUGAGGUGCAGGUGAGAUGUUACCUCCAAGGCAAUAGUAUGGAUGGACCAUCGGGAAGCAAGAGUUUCCUUAUUAUGCUUUAUGUGUGCAUGAGUGUUAUUUGUAAAGCCAAGGGCUUAAUAUGUAAUGAGCGAGACUCUAUUUGUGUAACCAAGCAAUGUCUUGGAAAGAUGGAAGCCUAUAUGGCACUUAAUUGUUUGCUAAACAGUGAACUCUGAUAUAUGAACUUAUGUUGUUUUUUUUA